GACGAACGCUGGCGGCGUGCUUAACACAUGCAAGUCGAGCGGGGACGAUGGAACGGAAGGCUUCGGCUGGAAGGUUCAUGUUCUAGCGGCGGACGGGUGAGUAACGCGUGAACAAUCUGUCCCAGACAGGGGGAGUAACACUUGGAAACAGGUGCUAAUACCGCAUAAGACCACGAGGCCACAUGGUUUUGGGGUAAAAGGAGCAAUCCGGUUUGGGGUGAGUUCGCGUCCGAUUAGCUAGUUGGCGAGGUAACGGCCCACCAAGGCGACGAUCGGUAGCCGACCUGAGAGGGUGAUCGGCCACAUUGGAACUGAGAAACGGUCCAAACUCCUACGGGAGGCAGCAGUGGGGAAUAUUGGGCAAUGGGCGAAAGCCUGACCCGGCAACGCCGCGUGAGGGAAGAAGGUUUUUCGGAUUGUAAACCUCUGUCCUCAGGGACGAAGGAAGUGACGGUACCUGAGGAGGAAGCCCCGGCUAACUACGUGCCAGCCGCCGCCGU
rnacentral:rRNA from 1 species